AUGUUGGCCGGGCGACGGUUGUCCCGGUUUAAGCGUGUAGGCUGGUUUUCCAGGCAAAUCCGGAAAACUAAGGCUGAGGCGUGAUGACGAGGCACUACGGUGCUGAAGCAACAAAUGCCCUGCUUCCAGGAAAAGCCUCUAAGCAUCAGGUAACAUCAAAUCGUACCCCAAACCGACACAGGUGGUCAGGUAGAGAAUACCAAGGCGCUUGAGAGAACUCGGGUGAAGGAACUAGGCAAAAUGGUGCCGUAACUUCGGGAGAAGGCACGCUGAUAUGUAGGUGAAGUCCCUCGCGGAUGGAGCUGAAAUCAGUCGAAGAUACCAGCUGGCUGCAACUGUUUAUUAAAAACACAGCACUGUGCAAACACGAAAGUGGACGUAUACGGUGUGACGCCUGCCCGGUGCCGGAAGGUUAAUUGAUGGGGUCAGCGCAAGCGAAGCUCUUGAUCGAAGCCCCGGUAAACGGCGGCCGUAACUAUAACGGUCCUAAGGUAGCGAAAUUCCUUGUCGGGUAAGUUCCGACCUGCACGAAUGGCGUAAUGAUGGCCAGGCUGUCUCCACCCGAGACUCAGUGAAAUUGAACUCGCUGUGAAGAUGCAGUGUACCCGCGGCAAGACGGAAAGACCCCGUGAACCUUUACUAUAGCUUGACACUGAACAUUGAGCCUUGAUGUGUAGGAUAGGUGGGAGGCUUUGAAGUGUGGACGCCAGUCUGCAUGGAGCCGACCUUGAAAUACCACCCUUUAAUGUUUGAUGUUCUAACGUUGACCCGUAAUCCGGGUUGCGGACAGUGUCUGGUGGGUAGUUUGACUGGGGCGGUCUCCUCCUAAAGAGUAACGGAGGAGCACGAAGGUUGGCUAAUCCUGGUCGGACAUCAGGAGGUUAGUGCAAUGGCAUAAGCCAGCUUGACUGCGAGCGUGACGGCGCGAGCAGGUGCGAAAGCAGGUCAUAGUGAUCCGGUGGUUCUGAAUGGAAGGGCCAUCGCUCAACGGAUAAAAGGUACUCCGGGGAUAACAGGCUGAUACCGCCCAAGAGUUCAUAUCGACGGCGGUGUUUGGCACCUCGAUGUCGGCUCAUCACAUCCUGGGGCUGAAGUAGGUCCCAAGGGUAUGGCUGUUCGCCAUUUAAAGUGGUACGCGAGCUGGGUUUAGAACGUCGUGAGACAGUUCGGUCCCUAUCUGCCGUGGGCGCUGGAGAACUGAGGGGGGCUGCUCCUAGUACGAGAGGACCGGAGUGGACGCAUCACUGGUGUUCGGGUUGUCAUGCCAAUGGCACUGCCCGGUAGCUAAAUGCGGAAGAGAUAAGUGCUGAAAGCAUCUAAGCACGAAACUUGCCCCGAGAUGAGUUCUCCCUGACUCCUUGAGAGUC
rnacentral:rRNA from 1 species